rnacentral:lncRNA from 1 species
GACUUAGGAACAUCUACAGGGUGUCUGAUGUCUGUUAGACAAGGACAACUGUAGGUGGGCCUAAUUACUUGGGAGGUUCCGUCACAGCUGGUAUCGGAGCGUAGCCCUUCUUUGCAGAUAUUAUGAGGCAUCUUCAAAAGGAUUUUUAAAAGUCUUACCUAAAAACUCUUUUCUCUUCUUACCUAAGUAUUCUGAAGAGUCUAUCUUAAAGACCAGAUAGGAAGAGUGCAAUGUAUAGAAGGUUGAAUCGACUAAGGUUGAUUCUGUACUUACACACAUGCAUCAUGCUAAGAACUAUAUUAAUAAGUUUUCCCCCUUAGAAAAAUGCUGUCGCGCAUUAGAAAGACCGCGCGCAAAUCUACUAGACCCAUUGGCAUACCCUGCCAUUAACUUACCCCAAGACAUGAAGAAAGUAGCAGUGGUAGCAACGAUCCUAUCGGGAUCUGGAAGCACAAGUCGAACUGCUUCAAUCAGAACUCCGUCAUAAGAAUGAUCUAUGGGUCGCGGAUGCAGCCAUCCGCUACUUGCAAGACCAAUUCGCGAAACGAGAUCUAGCGCUCGAUUGGACGGUUAACUCUCGUCCACUCGCCUGGGCUAAGGAAGCCAAAUCUCGAGCCCGCACGGAGGAGCUUAGCUUAGCCAUGAAUAACUUGCAGGUCUGUUAUAAUACACUACAUGAAGAAGUUCAUGGGUUGUAUUUACAACUGCAUCCGAACGUCCCUGCGGAUCCUGUUGGGAUGGAAGCCGGACCUUCUUGUGUAGCGGGAGAAGCACUUGAUGGUGAACUGGACCUUUUCAAGCCCCCUCCCUCUAUGAAGUUGGUUGACGAAUGAUCUUCUACGCCCGACAGUAAAGCUACCAAAAGUAAAAAAAGUGGCUUACCAAGUGCCCGUAACAUUGGCCGGACGGAACUUUCCUACUAAUAUGAUCGUUCUGAAAGGCCAAGACAUAGAUGUCAUCUUGGGCAUAAACUGGUUAGUCCAGCAAAAAGCAAUUCUCAACCCUGAUCUGAGAACCAUCAGGUUGAGUUAUGGCUAAUAAAGAGUUGGUGACUUGAUUGCCUAAACCAAGAUUAGGCUAUAUUAGUAUUUGGUGAACCAUGACCAAAGUUGAUUUUUCCGUUACCCCUCCUUGACCCAAACUUAUACAAAUAAAGGCUUAGAUAAUUUCUUUGCUGAACCUAAAGUGUAAUCAGGCUUAAAAUAAGAAUCUUGAGUCAUAUUUCCAUCCUAGACCAUGCCCUUGUUCGAUUGGCACAAGCUAAUGUCCCUGAUCUAGUUUGCCUGUUCUUAAGAAUCGUCAUGUUGUUUUAUCAACCUAACCUAGGAAAGACAUGUCCACUCAUUUUCUUGAAUUUGAUGCCUUUGGUUUCCCCACAUCUAUCGAAGGCAUACCAAUUCAAUCUUGUGAUUGUUUUCCCUCUGUAUCUAAUCUGAUACUAAUCCUUGAUUUUGUAAUCUCUAUGAUGAGCAUAGAAAUAUGCUUGGGUCUGAAUUAACAGUCUCCCAUCAUACUCCUUUCAUCAAGUUUAGGUUAUGGCCAUGCCUUGUUCACUUCCUUGGGCCAUGAUCUAUUUGGAUCUCUACUUGUAACCAUUUUUACAGGUGGAGUCUCUUUUGUACCUAGUCAUCCUUGACCAGUCUAUUUGUGUUGUGUGAGAUUCCUUAUUGGUUAUGUCUGGUAUUGGCGUUAUGACUAAAAUUGAUGAUGCCGCGCCAUAACCGAGGGCCUCUUGUGGGUAUACACACAAGGUUGUGCUGCUCGAUGCACGCUUGUAUCACAGUUAGUAGUCAUAAUCCAUUAUGAGAUUAUAUCAAUAUGUUAUCUCUACGCAAAUCGUUCUUACCACGUGAGAUCCAUUAUUGGUGCCAGUUUUCUAAUGGUGUCAUGGUUAAGAACUUAUGGUACUGCAGCGAAACUGAGAACCUCCUGUAAAUGUGCACACAGGAUUCUACUGCUUGGCGCAUGUCGGUAUCAAGGUCUCUAGUCAUGAUCCAUUAUGGAACUACACUGAUGUGUGAUCUUUCAUGGACACCUCAUCCUUGAAACAAUUUCUAUGUUGUUUGUCAAAUGGCCAAGCAACAUCUAUCAUCUUUGUUGGAUCAAAAGGGGCAUACCACUUUUAGGCAUGGUCUCUUUCCUUUUGAUCUUGGUAGUGACUACUUAUAGAAGUUCCCUUUACAUCCUUUGUGUAAAGGUGAAGUCUUGGAGCUUUUUAGUGUUGGACAACAACUGAUUAGCUAAAAUGGAGAUUUGUUUUCUCUGCUGCUGAAAUGCAGGAGUUUGUUCAUUCGCUCUCUUAUUUAAUCCAUGUAUUCCCUAACCAAGUGGAUAAUUCAUCUCGCAUGGGAAAAAUGGAUGAACGACCUGACCAAAUGGAUUUCUACCCAAAUGCAUGACCUUUUGCUUGCAAAUGUGAACUCUCAACCCUUGGCUUACCAAUGGUAUUGAGAGGAUCUGCUUAAUGUCAAAAGUAGUUCAACAAGUUGGUUUUGACUAACUUGUAAUUGCCCAAUGAACGAAGGCUGAGUUUAGAGAUCGUUUUAUCGAGUUGUCUAAACUCACUUUGGUUCAACCCACCCUAAAGAAAGUGCUUACCAAAAUCAAAUUAAGUCGACCAGUAACCACUUAAUUAUCGCUCUAGUCGUACCUCGACUGCCUCACGCGUGUUUUUCCUGCGUGUGUGAUCAUGCCGAUUCACGACUAAUGCUGGAUAAAAUGGACUGGUUGUAUAGUCCAGACCCCUCCACUGGUGAUUCUCUCGAAUCUAUACCAUCUUUCGUGGACUUGAAUUCUUGGGUUAGCCAUAUGUUAACCGCGACAGUAUUCGACAUCCACACACGUCCCCUGUGCUAUGAAAUUUCCUGUAACCACUUGUUGGUAAACCUCUUUCUGUGUGUUUUACCCAAGAUGGUGCAUCUAAUUCUAUUUGGGUAAAGUGCGUAAUUGCCGCUCGCCCAAUAGACUCAGAUAGUACAGUGUCAACAGAAGAAGCAAAUUGCACAUAUGGAACCUUAUGUGUUCUUCUGGUGGGUAAAGAUGCAAAUUGAAAUUGCACACUAUGUGGCUAGAUGUGACACUUGUAAACGUGUCAAGGCCAUAUACAUGAAGACUGCUGGUCCAUUACAAUCUUUACCUAUCCCAGUAUGGAAAUGGGAAGAUAUUAGUAUGGACUUCAUUGUGGGAUUACCCAGGACUACAAAAGGGUAUGACUCUAUCUGGGUUAUUGUUGAUCGGUUUACGAAAAUUGCUCAUUUUCUGCCAGUCAAGACAUAUCACCCGGUUACUAUCUAUGCCCAAUUAUAUAUUGCUCAUAUUCUUAGUCUGCAUGGUGUUCCAAAGAUUAUAGUGUCGGAUCGUGGACCUCAAUUCGUAUCCAAAUUCUGGGAAGAACUUCAUAAAUCCCUGGGUACUAAACUGCUCCAUAGUUCGGCCUAUCAUCCUCAAACCAGUGGACAGACUGAGAGAGUAAAUCAGAUACUUGAAGAUAUGCUGCGGGCAUGUGCUCUGGACUUCUCACAGAAGUGGGAUGAAUGUUUGCCCUUAGCGGAAUUUUCAUAUAAUAAUAGCUAUCAAGAAAGUAUCAAGAUGGCACCCUUCGAAGCUUUAUAUGGACGACGAUGUCGUACUCCGCUAAAUUGGUCUGAAUCUGGUGAAAGGGACUCCUUCAGGCCUGACAGGGUAAAAGAAACUGAAGACAAAGUUCAGAAAAUGAUUUAUAAUUUGAAGAAAGCUCAGACUCGUCAAAAGAGUUAUGCAGACAAACGGCGAAUGCCCUUAUGUUUCCUUGAAGGAGACUAUGUCUACCUAAAGGUUUCACCCAUGAAGGGUGUAUCGCGUUUCGGGGUUAAAGGGAAACUUGCACCCAGGUACAUUGGUCCAUUCCUGGUGCUUGAGCAAUGUGGACCAGUGGCAUACCGACUCCAACUACCCGAAACAUUGUCUGCUGUGCAUAAUGUGUUCCACGUGUCACAAUUGAAGAAGUAUCUUCGGGUUCCUGAUCGAACCGUUGAAGUGACAGAUGUUGUCCUUAAACCAGACUUGACAUACUCUGAGCACCCUAUUCGAGUCUUGGAUCAAAAGGACAGGGUUACCCAGAGAAAAACUCUCAAGUUUUAUAAGAUACAGUGGAACCAGCAUUCUGAAGAUGAGGCUACAUGGGAAACUCAAGACUUUUUAGAUAAGAAUUUCCCAGGCUUUUUAGCCUCAUGUAAAUUGUAAAGCCUGUAUAAAUGUGUAAUAGAGAAGUAACCCCCACACCACCCCUGCCUUGUACCAGAAAGAAGGAAAUAAAAGUAUUCCGCGUUUCCUUUUCCAUUACUUACCCUAGGACUUUUAAUCUCGGGACGAGAUUCUUUUAUGGGGGGAAGGAUGUAACACUCCUGGUGUUACUGUAACUAAAACUUGAGCAUGGCAUCAUAAGCAUUGGCAUUGCAUAUGUUUGAUACACCUAGAAUGCAUUCACUAGGCAAAAAUUUCAAGCAAGUUGUAUUGUUUUAAUGUUUUUGCAAAUAGAACCCUGGAUAGGGAACUUAACCCUAAAUAGGGAUUAAAGGGGUAAGACCUAACCCAAGAUGGGAAAACCUAAAGGCUUUAGGGAGAGGGUCAUAAAAUAUCCCCAAAAGCAAAGUUGAGUCACAUUUAUACCCCUGGGAUACCAAAACUCUCAAUUAGAACCCUGGAAAACCCUAAAACUAAAACCUAGGGGCCUAUGUGCAAAAUUAGUCCACUUUUGGACUAAAGUGCAAAAAACCAAGUUAAAUAGGUAUCUUUAGUCAUUUGGGUCACAUAUAUGUGAAUUUGCAAGCCAAACCCUAAGUUUUGGACCAAAAUGCAAAAAUCACUUCUUAAAGCACUAUAGAGGCUAAGUCUGAAAUUAAGUGUUGAGGGCUCAACUUUGGAGCAUUGGAUCUUCCAAAUUAUUGAGAAUUUUCCCUAGGUCACCACAUCAAUAUUGUAGAUCUAUAGAAGGAGAGUAACUUUGUUAUAGAACUCAUGCCUUGGUACCAUAAAGGAUUCUGAAAUAAAUGAGCCCGAAGUUGCUCUGUCAGGCUGGUAUAAAGAAACUGAAGACUGAACUUGAAGACAGAAGUGGUCACAGUGAGAUGGGGCCGAUUUGAGCACGCCAUAACUUUAAAUACGUUCGAAUUUGAUCCAAGAAUCCUAUAGUAAGGUUGGAGACUGAUGAUUAGUGAACAAAUUUUAUUAAGAAGGAUCGCUCUGUUCCUAACAAGAAUCUAGAGAUAAUUGGGUUGGAACAUGGCCGGUUCAGGCGACUGAAGCAGAUGCGCCAUGGUACAGUAGACCAUUGGGGAUAAGACCGCCAGCUGGCUCACUCGUCGCCGGUGAGUCACCGCCGGUGGUCGAUCUCGUGCUACGAUUCGUGCAUCGGGUACAACGGAUAAACUUGACCGGGUAAAAAUCCGAGGCAGGAUUGAGCUACGGCUAAGACCGCCGCACUUCACCCCAGCUCAUCGUCGAGUAGAUGGCCUCGUCACCGAUAAGCCACCGUCGUCGUGCACCACGUGUCUUAACACGAGACACCUUCGUGGUGACUCGUUAGCUGCAUGUCCGGCGAUCACCGGAAUCACUGCCACGGUGAGAGCUACUUUUUCCCCCGCACUGAGCUCUCCGGCCGCUAACACCCCUCGGCCGAAUUCGUCACCGACCCUCGAUGCGCCUAUAAAUUGCGGAUGCCGCGGGCUCCGUAGGGCAGUAAGCUAACCAGCCGCCUCGAAUCAGCCUCAAUCAUUCACUGAGAGCCGCGAAUUUGGAGUUCUCCCCAAAUCGUUUUCCGCCGCCGUGAAACCCACCCCCACCGUGGCCAGACCACUCUGGUAAAGUUCCGCGCCUCUCAAGUAUUGUUUUAGCAUCUGUGUAGGCACGUAAAGCUCACCGUAGCAUCCGUUUGCCCAAUCCGGGCCUGCAUAAUUGGGAACAUGGGAUCGACGCCGCGGUUCCCGCCGUGAACGUGGAUAGGCCGUUCGCAGGGCGCUCUUGUCAAAUUGAUGCGUGUUCCUAGGUCGCCUUGAGUAGGUUAUGCUCCCGCUGUCGCUCGACUGAGCAUUCGCCGCCGGCCGGGGCCAGUCCGUGCGGCAUCGGUGAUGAACGGUAAACGCGCCUUGGUCGGGGACUUUAAACUCAGAAUAGAUAGAAGGGGAAGGACUUUUAUGCAAACUGUCAGCGACUGUGUUAAACAGUGGAAGACCGGAUCCCAGUUUGUGAAAACCCCGUGGACUUUUGUGCAAAACCGCCAGCGCACGCGGGCGCGCGCGUGGACGUGCUUCUGCUGGUAGUGGGCCGACCUCGACUGGAUUCGGCCCAAUACUAUUCACGAGUUUUCUUUUUCUUUUUCCCUCCCGAGUUAAAACAAUUAUAGAAAAUAGUAGAAAAAUGCUAAAAUCGUGAAACUAAUUUCCCUAGGCUUGUUAUUUUCCCUAGAAUUUAGUAAAAAUAGUUUUGUGAUUUUUAGUGGAAAUAAGAAAUUUUAAGGUAUUUAAAGUGGUUAAAAGUAUCAGUUAUGGAUUUUUAGAAAAAUAAUUGGUAAGUCUAAAAAUGCCCAAACUUUUUAACGGAACUUAAAGAAAUAUUUAGAAGCCUUGGGUAGGGAUUGAGUUGAUUUGGACCAUGUUUGAUAACUAGAACCCAAAACCACCCCCUGCCCUAUGAACUCCUUUACCGACUCCGGAAACCCUAAGUUCUCGGAGUACCGUGAAGGAAAGUUGUACUCAAGACAUAGAUAAUAAGUUUAUAUUAUCUUUGCAUCCUCAUGAGCAUCCCAUGGCAUCCAUUCUUAUACAUAUGUAUGGUUAUGAUUAGAACGUGAAGAAGAAAUCGAAGUAACUGAAGAGAAGACACCACCACCUUCGGAAUCUCAGGCCGGAAAUUGUUUCUACUUUGAUAUCUGCGGAUCCGAGCCUGACUCACCUACUAACGAAGGCAAGCCCCGGUGCAUGCAACCCCUUUCCUUGUGUUUUUAAAUACUUUUCGCACACUUUAAGUCUAGUGAAAUGUGCAUUAAGUUUAUAGGAAUUGCUUGAAACCCUUUGAUGCAUUGCUUUCCUUGAUAUCCAUACCUUUAUAGAUACUUCUGUGAAGUAUCAAAAUUAUGAUUUACAAAAAUGCUUAGCCUUGCUUAGAUCUUGUGGAUAGAGGUUGUCCUCAGUCUAACCCGGGAGAGGAUGGCUUCUACCUGCAAGAAUAUUUUCAUUUGGAGCAAUAGUGGGAUCUUACUGCAAAGUUCCCUGUGAUGCUCUUUCAUCCUAAGGAACAGACACAAUCCUAAGGAUGGAAAUACUUAAAUUGAGACUUGGGUUAGGAACAGGUGAUGUUCUACCCAGGUUGAUUAAGGAUUGAUGCGUAUGUAGGCGUGCUGACCGAGGACCCUUUAACUGGUCACAUGCCUCGUCAUGGGUAAGCCUUGCCUCGGGCAGACUAAGGCCAGAAUAAGAUAACACGAAAUGGGCGUGGAGCGGUGGCGAGAGUAGCGUGUACCCUCCGUGGCAAGAGGCUGGACGGUGGUGUAUCUGUGCUCUCGGUUUGCGUGAACCUGAUCUGGUCUUAAGAACCCCGGUGGCGGGUUGACAUAUGCAAGGGUUAAGUGCUACAUAUGUCGUGUGAUUGGAGAUCCUCAGCUAAGUAUAAUCAAUUCGGAUCGCCGUACCUUCGCGGUUAUGAAGACUUGGUCACUUUUCUACAACCUAAGUCAGGAUGUGAACACUAUGGAUAAAAAUGAUAUUGUAUUGAUGAGAUGUUGAAAUUAGACUAGAUGCAAAUAGAGUCUAUUAAUACUCAAAAUGGCGUUAAAAGAUUGAAAGUAAGGACUCACUUUAGUAAGCUACUUCUGCAAAAGUAUAAGUUGAUUUUUGCUAAAGCCUCUCCUUGAUUCCUAUUUAUCCAGCAUACCCUUGAGAGUCUUUUCCUUAGUCGGGUAAGACUUGCUGAGUAAUUCCAUACUCAGGGUUUAUCCCUUUGUUGUUUUUAGGUGAGGAAGCGACAAAUUUUUGUUGCUUUUGCUCCAAGGUGGUACCAAAUGAAGAAAAACAAGACUGAAGUGCGGGAGGACUUGGUCCUCCACAUAGGAUCUUUUGCUUAAAACUUAUCGGGAGGAGUUUGUGCCUCCCUUGGUUUGUAUAAUAUUACUACUCAGCACUCGUUUAUAGCUCUGGUCUAUAAUAAGUAACUUGAUCUUACUUUCUAAUAAAAUGUAAGUUUAUGUCAAAGCUUCCGCAUUUCUUUAUCUCCGAUGUUCUAUAAUGUCUGCAAGACGGGUGAAACGUUCCUGGUAAGGUAAGGAAAGAUACCGAACUUGUCAAGUGACUUAGGAACAUCUACAGGGUGUCUGAUGUCUGUUAGACAAGGACAACUGUAGGUGGGCCUAAUUACUUGGGAGGUUCCGUCACAUGUUCAAAAGGGGGAAAAAGUAGUAUUUUCAAAUUUGAUAUCUUAAAACCCUCUUGAACACUAAGAGGAGAAUUUAUUGAGGGGGAGUUUUGUUUUGUCAAAGGACAAGCAUUUGGAACAAGGGGAGAAAAUUUCAAAACUUGAAAAUGCUUCGCAAAAUCUUAUUCAUUUACCUUUGACUAUUUUGCAAAAAGGACUUUGAAAAGGAUUUACAAAAAUAAUUUGCA